UACGUAGGGGGCAAGCGUUGUCCGGAUUCAUUGGGCGUAAAGAGCGUGUAGGCGGCCAGGUAGGUCGGUUGUGAAAACUGGAGGCUCAACCUUCAGAGGUCGACCGAAACCAUCUGGCUAGAGUCCGGGAGAGGAGAGUGGAAUUCCUGGUGUAGCGGUGAAAUGCGCAGAUAUCAGGAGGAACACCUAUGGCGAAGGCAGCUCGCUGGGACGUUACUGACGCUGAGACGCGAAAGCGUGGGGAGCAAACAGG
rnacentral:rRNA from 1 species